rnacentral:rRNA from 1 species
AUACCGCAUACGACCUACGGGUGAAAGCAGGGGACCUUCGGGCCUUGCGCGAUUGAAUGAGCCGAUGUCGGAUUAGCUAGUUGGCGGGGUAAAGGCCCACCAAGGCGACGAUCCGUAGCUGGUCUGAGAGGAUGAUCAGCCACACUGGAACUGAGACACGGUCCAGACUCCUACGGGAGGCAGCAGUGGGGAAUAUUGGACAAUGGGCGCAAGCCUGAUCCAGCCAUACCGCGUGGGUGAAGAAGGCCUUCGGGUUGUAAAGCCCUUUUGUUGGGAAAGAAAUCCAGCCGGCUAAUACCUGGUUGGGAUGACGGUACCCAAAGAAUAAGCACCGGCUAACUUCGUGCCAGCAGCCGCGGUAAUACGAAGGGUGCAAGCGUUACUCGGAAUUACUGGGCGUAAAGCGUGCGUAGGUGGUUGUUUAAGUCUGUUGUGAAAGCCCUGGGCUCAACCUGGGAACUGCAGUGGAAACUGGACAACUAGAGUGUGGUAGAGGGUAGCGGAAUUCCCGGUGUAGCAGUGAAAUGCGUAGAGAUCGGGAGGAACAUCCAUGGCGAAGGCAGCUACCUGGACCAGACACUGACACUGAGGCACGAAACGUCGUG